rnacentral:rRNA from 1 species
UACGUAGGGUGCGAGCGUUGUCCGGAAUUAUUGGGCGUAAAGAGCUCGUAGGCGGUGUGUCACGUCGGCCGUGAAAACCUGCAGCUUAACUGUGGGCGUGCGGUCGAUACGGGCAUCACUGGAGUUCGGCAGGGGAGACUGGAAUUCCUGGUGUAGCGGUGAAAUGCGCAGAUAUCAGGAGGAACACCGGUGGCGAAGGCGGGUCUCUGGACAGUCCUGACGCUGAGGCACGAAGGCCAGGGGAGCAAACGGG